rnacentral:rRNA from 1 species
UACAGAGGGUGCGAGCGUUGUCCGGAAUCACUGGGCGUAAAGGGCGCGUAGGCGGCCUGAUAAGUAGGGGGGUGAAAUCCUGCGGCUUAACCGCAGGGCUGCCUUCUAAACUGUCGGGCUCGAGCACAGUAGAGGCAGGUGGAAUUCCCGGUGUAGCAGUGGAAUGCGUAGAGAUCGGGAAGAACAUCAGUGGCGAAGGCGGCCUGCUGGGCUGUUGCUGACGCUGAGGCGCGACAGCGUGGGGAGCAAACAGG